rnacentral:rRNA from 1 species
CCUACGGGCGGCAGCAGUGAGGAAUAUUGGUCAAUGGGCUUACGCCUGAACCAGCCAAGUCGCGUGGGGGAAGACUGCCCUAUGGGUUGUAAACCUCUUUUGUCAGGGAGCAAUUGGCGCUACGUGUAGCGUUAUCGAGAGUACCUGAAGAAAAAGCAUCGGCUAACUCCGUGCAAGCAGCCGCGGUAAUACGGAGGAUGCGAGCGUUAUCCGGAUUUAUUGGGUUUAAAGGGUGCGUAGGCGGAAUGCCAAGUCAGCGGUAAAAUCGCGGGGCUAAACCUCGCUCCGCAGUUGAAACUGGUGUUCUUGAGUGGGCGAGAAGUAUGCGGAAUGCGUGGUGUAGCGGUAAAAUGCAUAGAUAUCACGCAGAACUCCGAUUGGGAAGGCAGCAUACCGGCGCCCAACUGACGCUGAAGCACGAAAGCGUGGGUAUCGAACAGGAUUAGAUACCCCUGUAGUC